rnacentral:rRNA from 1 species
AUUGAACGCUGGCGGCAUGCUUUACACAUGCAAGUCGAACGGCAGCACGGGUGCUUGCACCUGGUGGCGAGUGGCGAACGGGUGAGUAAUACAUCGGAACGUGCCCAGUCGUGGGGGAUAACGUAGCGAAAGCUACGCUAAUACCGCAUACGAUCUACGGAUGAAAGCGGGGGACUCGCAAGAGCCUCGCGCGAUUGGAGCGGCCGAUGGCAGAUUAGGUAGUUGGUGGGGUAAAGGCUCACCAAGCCUGCGAUCUGUAGCUGGUCUGAGAGGACGACCAGCCACACUGGAACUGAGACACGGUCCAGACUCCUACGGGAGGCAGCAGUGGGGAAUUUUGGACAAUGGGCGCAAGCCUGAUCCAGCCAUUCCGCGUGCAGGAUGAAGGCCUC